rnacentral:miRNA from 12 species
UUUGGAUUGAAGGGAGCUCUG